rnacentral:rRNA from 1 species
AGAGUUUGAUCCUGGCUCAGGACGAACGCUGGCGGCGCGCCUAACACAUGCAAGUCGAACGAGCGAGAGAGAGCUUGCUUUCUCGAGCGAGUGGCGAACGGGUGAGUAACGCGUGAGGAACCUGCCUCAAAGAGGGGGACAACAGUUGGAAACGACUGCUAAUACCGCAUAAGCCCACGGCUCGGCAUCGAGCAGAGGGAAAAGGAGCAAUCCGCUUUGAGAUGGCCUCGCGUCCGAUUAGCUAGUUGGUGAGGUAAUGGCCCACCAAGGCGACGAUCGGUAGCCGGACUGAGAGGUUGAACGGCCACAUUGGGACUGAGACACGGCCCAGACUCCUACGGGAGGCAGCAGUGGGGAAUAUUGCACAAUGGGGGAAACCCUGAUGCAGCGACGCCGCGUGGAGGAAGAAGGUCUUCGGAUUGUAAACUCCUGUUGUUGAGGAAGAUAAUGACGGUACUCAACAAGGAAGUGACGGCUAACUACGUGCCAGCAGCCGCGGUAAAACGUAGGUCACAAGCGUUGUCCGGAAUUACUGGGUGUAAAGGGAGCGCAGGCGGGAAGACAAGUUGGAAGUGAAAUCCAUGGGCUCAACCCAUGAACUGCUUUCAAAACUGUUUUUCUUGAGUAGUGCAGAGGUAGGCGGAAUUCCCGGUGUAGCGGUGGAAUGCGUAGAUAUCGGGAGGAACACCAGUGGCGAAGGCGGCCUACUGGGCACCAACUGACGCUGAGGCUCGAAAGUGUGGGUAGCAAACAGGAUUAGAUACCCUGGUAGUCCACACCGUAAACGAUGAUUACUAGGUGUUGGAGGAUUGACCCCUUCAGUGCCGCAGUUAACACAAUAAGUAAUCCACCUGGGGAGUACGACCGCAAGGUUGAAACUCAAAGGAAUUGACGGGGGCCCGCACAAGCAGUGGAGUAUGUGGUUUAAUUCGAAGCAACGCGAAGAACCUUACCAGGUCUUGACAUCCUACUAACGAGAUAGAGAUAUGUUAGGUGCCCUUCGGGGAAAGUAGAGACAGGUGGUGCAUGGUUGUCGUCAGCUCGUGUCGUGAGAUGUUGGGUUAAGUC